AAACAGCUUGGUGUCAUUCAUGCAAAGGAGGUGACUCAUGAGGAGGUGACUCCUCAUAUAGAAGAGAGGCAAUGCAGAGACUCUAAGUGGCUUGCACAUGCUCUUUGUAAUUCAAUGGACAGCACUUCAUCAGGCUCAUCUAUUCGGAAUUCCUUUGAUUUCAAAUAAAUUCAUGCUUCCAUCAUCAA